CACACUUACACACUAAAACUCCCACAGAAAGGGGGAAAAUUAGAAAAGGGGUGAUAUAAUUUGACUCUGUGUCACCACCCAAAUCUCAUCUUGAAUUGUAAUCCCCGUAAUUUCUCACCUGGCAAGAGUGGGACCAGGUGGAGACAAUUGGAUCAUGGGGGCAGUUUUCCCCAUGCUCUUCUCGUGAUAAUGAUUGAGUCUCAUGGGAUCUGAUGAUUCUAUAAGUGUCUGGCUUUUCUCCUACUUGCACUCACUCCAUCCUGCCACCCUGCGAGGAAGGUGCCUGCUUCUUCUUUGCCUUCCGCCGUGAGUGUGAGUCUCCUGAGGCCUCCCCAGCAAUGUGGAACUGAUACGUCAUGGAACAGAGGGCAACCUGCCUCCUGGAAAUGUGGAGUGUCUAGGGAGUCACAGCUGAGAUCUUCCUUGGAUUAAAGGCUGCGGGUGUCACAAACAGACCUGAUUGAAAAUUCUUGAUCUGGCCACAUACCCUGUUUACAUUGAUGCAGAUUCAACUGGGUGAAAUAACUGUGAACUGGGCAUGUGAAGAGAAAGCUGAAAGCCAUGAUCUCAAGAUGGAAACUUCAGUAUCCAGCAAAGAAAUGGUGAAGGCGUUCGUUAUGUGGGAUAUGCUGUUACCACUGAACUUGAAGUUAUCAAAGAAGUUCUAUUCUUAACCCUUAAUCUGCUCAGGAAAACAUUCUUGCUAAAAAAAGAUUGUUGGGACUUACCAAGGUGGCUGAAUAGGAACAGCUUCUGUCUGCAGCUCCCAGGGAGAUGAAUGCAGAAGGACGUGAGUCUUCACAACCUGCUAAAAAUGAACUUUCAGGACCUACCCAUCUAGGAAUAAGCCAUCCUAGCCAUGAGCGAUCAGAGACCAGAGACUCAUUUUUUUGUAAAAUGCUUUCUCCAAAAGACUUUUAAAAAGAAAAGGGGGGAAAUGUGAAAAGAAAAUAUUUUGGGCCCUCAAAAUCCCUAAGGAAAACUCAAGCUAGAAACUGCUUAAGGCAAUCCUGACUCCUAUUCUAUUCAAAGUUAACCCUCUCCUCACUGAGAUGGAUGCAUAUCUGAUUGCCUCCAUUGGAAAGGCUAAUCAGAAACUCAAAAGAAUGUCUCACCUAUCUGCCACCUGGAAGCUCCCUCCUGUUUCCAGUUUUCCUGACUUUACUUCAAGUUUUCCCACCUUUCCAGACUGCACCAAUGUACUUCUUACAUAUUAAUUGAUGUCUCAUGUUUCCCUUAAAAUGUAUAAAACCAAGCUGUGCCCUGACCACCUUGCGCACAUGUUGUCAGGACAUCCUGAGGUUGUGUCACAGGUUCAUCCUCAACCUUGGCAAAAUAAACUUUCUAAAUUAACUGAGACCUGUCUCAGAUUUUCUGGAUUCUCAGUGUCAAGUUGUGUCACACUUGGAUAUUCAGUGAAAGCUUCUUAAAAAUGUUGACUGAGUUGAGUCUUCAAAAAUUUUCCAACUUACUUACUGAAAGAAGGAAAGAAAGACUAUCCCAGACAAUAUUAUUAUGCUUUUCCUUUACACUUGCAAAUACUUCUCUUAACCUUAUUGUCUUGAUAUCUUAACCAUGACCUUGGACAACAAACUAUAGCAGUCUUGACAACUGAUAGCUUAUACAAGUGUUUAUAACAUCAGCAUCUCCUAAAAUAAAAAGUCUGAGAUUUUACAAAUAAGUAAAUUCCUUUCUGUUUCAAAGCUCUUUAAUAGUCACC
rnacentral:lncRNA from 1 species